rnacentral:rRNA from 1 species
CCUACGGGUGGCUGCAGUGGGGAAUUUUGGACAAUGGGGGCAACCCUGAUCCAGCCAUGCCGCGUGCGGGAAGAAGGCCUUCGGGUUGUAAACCGCUUUUGUCAGGAGAGAAAUCUCUUGGGCUAAUACCCUGAGAGGAUGACGGUACCUGAAGAAUAAGCACCGGCUAACUACGUGCCAGCAGCCGCGGUAAUACGUAGGGUGCAAGCGGUGCUCGGAAUGACUGGAGGCGGUUCGUGCAGAGGCGGUUGAAAUCCCCGGGCUUAACCUGGGAACUGCACUUGUGACUGCACGGCUAGAGUACGGCAGAGGGGGAUGGAAUUCCGCGUGUAGCAGUGAAAUGCGUAGAUAUGCGGAGGAACACCGAUGGCGAAGGCAGUCCCCUGGGCCUGUACUGACGCUCAUGCACGAAAGCGUGGGGAGCAAACAGGAUUAGAUACCCCAGUAGUC